rnacentral:pre_miRNA from 1 species
AAUGGUUGGAUGGCCAUAGAGGACUUCAAAACUGAAACUGAGCAUUUUUUUUUUUAAAAAAAAAAAUUCUCAGUUUCAGUUUUGAAGUCCUCUAUGGCCAUCCAACCAUU